AGAGUUUGAUCAUGGCUCAGGAUGAACGCUAGCGGGAGGCCUAACACAUGCAAGCCGAGCGGUAUUGUUCUUCGGAAAUGAGAGAGCGGCGUACGGGUGCGGAACACGUGUGCAACCUGCCUUUAUCUGGGGGAUAGCCUUUCGAAAGGAAGAUUAAUACUCCAUAAUAUAUUGAACGGCAUCGUUUAAUAUUGAAAGCUCCGGCGGAUAGAGAUGGGCACGCGCAAGAUUAGCUAGUUGGUGAGGUAACGGCUCACCAAGGCAAUGAUCUUUAGGGGCCUGAGAGGGUGAUCCCCCACACUGGUACUGAGACACGGACCAGACUCCUACGGGAGGCAGCAGUGAGGAAUAUUGGUCAAUGGGUGCAAGCCUGAACCAGCCAUCCCGCGUGAAGGACGACUGCCCUAUGGGUUGUAAACUUCUUUUGUAUAGGGAUAAACCUACUCUCGUGAGGGUAGCUGAAGGUACUAUACGAAUAAGCACCGGCUAACUCCGUG
rnacentral:rRNA from 1 species